GACAACGACGAAGAAGAAGAAAUGGCGGAGGCGAUCGCAGACGCCGCCAUUUUUAUUUUCCUUUUAGUGGGAUUGCUGUGUAAAUUCGAUGGAUUUGGGAUUUUGAGGUGGAAUUAUUAUUCGAGCAAAGCAUUGCCAAGGAAGCAGAGGAAUCAGAUUUGGGCCAAUAGAAGUUGGAGAGGCUUAUCUCUUCAUUCUCCAGGAUGGGGCCACUACAGAGCCUUGAAAUAACUGUAGCCAUGAAAAAGCAUUUCUCGAACUACAUGCAAUUCCUUGAUGACAUCUCCAAUCAGCAUUCGCUCGGCGGGGAAUUGCUUUGAACACAUGAGGCCGACUCUAAGCAAUGAAACUAUGCACUGAAAUGCUUUUCCGCCAGUUGAUUCCU